rnacentral:tRNA from 1 species
CGGCCCCGUGCUCUGUCGGCCGGGCACCCUGACUCUCGAUCAGGGCUACGCGGGUUCGAUUCCCGCCGGGUCAC